CUCCUCUUCAGGUCCAGGAUUCAGCGACUGUCAGGUCGAGCCGACAGCUGCUUGACGUACCUGCAUCUGUUCAUGUGAAGGAGUGUACACACCCAGAGUUCAGAGGUCAGCAGGGUUCGGGUGGACGUCAGGUUUUCAGAUGGACAGGUCGGUGUCUGUGUCGGUGGGUGUGGUCUUCGGGCUCGUGCUGCCUCCUCCUCCUCCUCUCUCCUCAGGAAUGGAGGACGGGUCACCGUUGAGACUGGGUAGCACACCUGGAACACACAUCAGCUUUUACAGUGUUCCAGCUUUGGACGAGCCUAAAGCCACCAGCCACCUCUGUCUCUCCGCAGCGUUCACAGCUCGGACGUAGAAAUGCUGCUCGCCGGGGAUGAUCAAAUCCAGACGCGUGGGAUCUGUCGGAUGAACUGAAACACAUCUUGAUGGAUCCUUUGCUUCCUUUACCGACGUCGUCCUCGCUGUCGUAAUAAGAGAUGACUCCAUUUUCUAAGACGAACCAGCGUGGCUGCCAACCUGAGGACAGACAACAAAGUGUUAAUAACUGUGUGUUUUUAAUCAAAAGAAUGAUUAAAACAAGGGCGUAGGUUUGGUCUCAACAUUGGUAGGGAUGCAACAAGCCCUCAAAAACAAUGCCCAUAUGCAAAUGUAAUAUAUGUCAUAGUACAGUAUGGCAUAAAAAGUCACAAAAACGACAGAGUUAAGUAAGGUGAAAAAAUGUUGUAUAGUAAGGCAUAAAAAGUCAUAGUAUAUAAAGGCGUAGAAAGUCAUAAAAUUGUCAUAUUAUAGUAAGGCAUCAAAACAUGAUAGUAUAGUAAGUCAUGAAAAGUCAUAAAAAAGACAGUAUAGGAAGGUAUGAAAACAUCAUAGUGUGGUAAAGUACAAAAAGUUGAAGUACAGUAAGGCAUAAAAACAACAUAGUAUAGUAAGGCAUAAAAAGUCAUAGUAUAGUAAGGCAUAUAAAGUUUUUAAAAAAUCAUAGUAUAGUAAGGCAUAAAAAGUCACAAAAACGUCAUAGUAUAAUAAGGCAUAAAAAGUCACGAAAAAGUCAUAGUAUAGUAAGGCAUAAAAAGUCAUAGUAUAGUAAGGCAUAAAAAGUAAAAAAAAAAUCAUAGUAUAGUAAGGCAUAAAAAGUCACAAAAACGUCAUAGUAUAAUAAGGCAUAAAAAGUCACGAAAAAGUCAUAGUAUAGUAAGGCAUAAAAAGUCAUAGUAUAGUAAGGCAUAAAAAAUCAUGGUAUAGUAAGGCAUAAAAAAUCAUAGUAUAGUAAGGCAUAAAAAGUCACAAAACUUCAUAGUAUAAUAAGGCAUAAAAAGUCAUAGUAUAGUAAGGCAUAAAAAGUAAAAAAAAAAUCAUAGUAUAGUAAGGCAUAAAAAAUGAAAAAAAAAUCAUAGUAUAGUAAGGCAUAAAAAGUCAUAGUAUAGUAAGGCAUAAAAAGUCAUAGUAUAGUAAGGCAUAAAAAGUCAUAGUAUAGUAAGGCAUAAAAAGUAAAAAAAAAAUCAUAGUAUAGUAAGGCAUAAAAAGUGAAAAAAAAAACAUAGUAUAGUAAGGCAUAAAAAGUCAUAGUAUAGUAAGGCAUAAAAAGUCAUAGUAUAGUAAGGCAUAAAAAGUAGAAAAAAAAUCAUAGUAUAGUAAGGCAUAAAAAGUCAUAGUAUAGUAAGGCAUAAAAAGUAAAAAAAAAAAUCAUAGUAUAGUAAGGCAUAAAAAGUCACGAAAAUGUCAUAGUAUACUAAGGCAUAAAAAGCCAUUAAAUCGUCAUGUAUAGUGAGGCAAAAAACAUCAUAGUAAAGUAAGACAUAAAAAGUCACAAAAACGUCAUAGUAUAAUAACGCAUAAAAAGUCAUGAAAAAGUCAUAGUAUAAUAAGGCAUAAAAAGU